CCUACGGGUGGCUGCAGUGGGGAAUAUUGGACAAUGGGGGGAACCCUGAUCCAGCCAUGCCGCGUGUGUGAAGAAGGCCCUCGGGUUGUAAAGCACUUUCAGUGAGGAAGAACGCCUGGUGGUUAAUACCCAUCAGGAAAGACAUCACUCACAGAAGAAGCACCGGCUAACUCCGUGCCAGCAGCCGCGGUAAUACGGAGGGUGCGAGCGUUAAUCGGAAUUACUGGGCGUAAAGCGCGCGUAGGUGGCUUGAUAAGCCGGUUGUGAAAGCCCCGGGCUCAACCUGGGAACGGCAUCCGGAACUGUCAAGCUAGAGUGCAGGAGAGGAAGGUAGAAUUCCCGGUGUAGCGGUGAAAUGCGUAGAGAUCGGGAGGAAUACCAGUGGCGAAGGCGGCCUUCUGGACUGACACUGACACUGAGGUGCGAAAGCGUGGGUAGCAAACAGGAUUAGAUACCCCAGUAGU
rnacentral:rRNA from 1 species